CAGACAUCCUAUUGUGGGACCCUGUGAUUGUGAGACUUUAAUACAAAAUUACCGUGUACUUCAUCUACAAUAUGUCUUCUGCUGCUGAUCUAGAUCUGAGCUGUCCGAUACAGCUGCCAGAAGCCACAGGUGACGUUAUAUUCCUAUUCGAAGACCAAGAGCUCAAAACAUCAUUCCUCCCCCAAAUGAAAAAAUGUCUGGGAAAAAUUACUAAUCUACUUCUCUGAAACCCAUUUGGGAAGCUGGCCCAAUUCGAGUUCUAUACUCAAAAGGCAAACGUAAAGACUAAACCUAAGACACCAGGUUUUUAGCCUUGGAUCAAGAUGUCUCAAAAAAAAUUCAGUAAAAAUCUAGAUCUUGCUCAGCUCCAAAUUCUUGUACUGCUUUCAGAGUACUGAGAUCAUUGUAGCCCAAACAUGCAAUGGCAUUUUAUAAGCCUCUUGAACUCUGAGGACUAAGCUCUGAUUUUUUUUAAUCUUGUCCAAAUUCCUAUCUAAGGGGUCUGGGGAGUC
rnacentral:lncRNA from 1 species